rnacentral:rRNA from 1 species
GGACGAACGCUGGCGGCGUGCUUAACACAUGCAAGUCGAACGAUGAAGCCCCUUCGGGGGUGGAUUAGUGGCGAACGGGUGAGUAACACGUGGGCAAUCUGCCCUGCACUCUGGGACAAGCCCUGGAAACGGGGUCUAAUACCGGAUACGACACAGGGAGGCAUCUCCUCUGUGUGGAAAGCUCCGGCGGUGCAGGAUGAGCCCGCGGCCUAUCAGCUUGUUGGUGAGGUAACGGCUCACCAAGGCGACGACGGGUAGCCGGCCUGAGAGGGCGACCGGCCACACUGGGACUGAGACACGGCCCAGACUCCUACGGGAGGCAGCAGUGGGGAAUAUUGCACAAUGGGCGCAAGCCUGAUGCAGCGACGCCGCGUGAGGGAUGACGGCCUUCGGGUUGUAAACCUCUUUCAGCAGGGAAGAAGCGCAAGUGACGGUACCUGCAGAAGAAGCGCCGGCUAACUAC